rnacentral:rRNA from 1 species
UGGCGAACGGGUGAGUAAUAUAUCGGAACGUACCCUAGAGUGGGGGAUAACGUAGCGAAAGUUACGCUAAUACCGCAUACGAUCUAAGGAUGAAAGUGGGGGAUCGCAAGACCUCAUGCUCGUGGAGCGGCCGAUAUCUGAUUAGCUAGUUGGUAGGGUAAAAGCCUACCAAGGCAUCGAUCAGUAGCUGGUCUGAGAGGACGACCAGCCACACUGGAACUGAGACACGGUCCAGACUCCUACGGGAGGCAGCAGUGGGGAAUUUUGGACAAUGGGCGAAAGCCUGAUCCAGCAAUGCCGCGUGAGUGAAGAAGGCCUUCGGGUUGUAAAGCUCUUUUGUCAGGGAAGAAACGGUGAGAGCUAAUAUCUUUUGCUAAUGACGGUACCUGAAGAAUAAGCACCGGCUAACUACGUGCCAGCAGCCGCGGUAAUACGUAGGGUGCAAGCGUUAAUCGGAAUUACUGGGCGUAAAGCGUGCGCAGGCGGUUUUGUAAGUCUGAUGUGAAAUCCCCGGGCUCAACCUGGGAAUUGCAUUGGAGACUGCAAGGCUAGAAUCUGGCAGAGGGGGGUAGAAUUCCACGUGUAGCAGUGAAAUGCGUAGAUAUGUGGAGGAACACCGAUGGCGAAGGCAGCCCCCUGGGUCAAGAUUGACGCUCAUGCACGAAAGCGUGGGGAGCAAACAGGAUUAGAUACCCUGGUAGUCCACGCCCUAAACGA